GGCCCAUGCAGCAAUCGCUCCCAUGCAGACUUCUGGACCGCUGCUCGUCGCCCCGCGUCAUUUGAACCGCUGCUCGUGAACCCGUUCACUUAAGAAGCACGUUACUUAUAUCGGAGCACAACAGCAGGCAUGUCAGGCUUACAAGUAAAGACAAACCGGAAGCAUUUGCGAGCGAGUCGUGUUUGUCCGCCUUCCAUUGGCCCUCAUCAGUUCUCGUAUCAUGGCAUGAUAUGCGUCAGGUAGUGUUCCUUGUGACUCGUGCUUCAGCACUGAACGUGCGCGAUGUAAGCUGGCGAUGGCGACAGCAACACUAUACCAACGAAUCACUACAGCAUUCAAGUUCACAUCUAAAUUUAACAACAUAGCGCACAAAAACACAUGAAUUAAGUACAGCAGCGGCCGCAGCGACGAGCCCGUGUGGACAAGGACGGCGCCGUUCCUGCAGAUAAUGAGCGGCACAGUGGCACGAAUGGGAGGAAGCAGGGGACAAGGGCGUGGAUGCAGUGCCAUGGCGGUGGUAACGCGCUACCAUUGCGGACCAAACGUGGGACUGUGGCCUAGAGGAGUUUGUAGGACGGUGAUGAUCAAGGGGUUGCUGCCGAAGAUCGUGCCGUUUGCUGACUCAUGUGGUGCUGGGCCUGAAGGACACGAGAAGGACUGAGCCCCAGGGACUGUUUCCGCCCCAGCCUCAGUUCCGCCCCGACCCACGGCCGCCCAUACUCGAGCCCACGGCCGCCCAUAACCGAGCCCAGUUCCGCCCCAACCCACGGCCGCCCAUACUCGACUAUGUGAUCUCCACCGAUUGAAAUAGUGGAGCAGUCAAAUUACAUGGUUGUUUGGCAGAACAUAAGCAAGACGGCACGCAGAAGGCAGGGGUGGUGCGGAAUGAGCAGGAAUGAGAGUGAACCUUACCUUUCACCUUCAACUGGGCAUUCUUUGAUACUGGGCUCCUGCAUGGGCACAGGGCAGAGGCAGAAAGCCGGAGGGGGGGAGAGUAUCUUCGUCAAAACGAAAGUGUGCAUAAGGAUGCGGAUGUUACAGAGGGGACAGUCCCAGCUCCCGAAGACGCCGAGCCAUCACAUGCUAUCAGGGCCCAACCCCGACUUUGCUGCAAACCCUCCCGCGGGCAAAGUCCGUGUGACUCCGCGCACAGUGAGUCCUAGCCAAGCCUCAACCCGCCAGAGCCCCACCGCUGUGCCUCAACGCCACAAGCCUAGGCACAGGAGUGCCGGGAAACGUUUAGGCCGCAGGACACACGCACAGCGCACGCACUAACCAGGGCGCAAGCGUCCAGGUACUAGAACGGUCGCCCACACGUGCAUCCUGCCCACACACAGAGCCACCAACCACGCACAACCUCUCACGGCGAGGGGGGCGGGGAAUCAGCGUCAUACGGCAAGCGCAAAACCAUGCCGUCACCAACAUAAGGGGGCAGGCGGACCAGGGGAUGCAGCAACAAGCAUAGCCGUCUCAUGUGCACCACGAAGCAGCCGUACACACCGUUCUCAAUGGUGGAGAAGCUGGCAUGGCGUUCAGUCGUUGUCAUAAGGGCAAAGUUCGGAAAUGUCGUCGUCAGGCGUGGCCCGCACGACCGGCGAGUCACGCACUUUGACAUUGCAGUUUCGUCGGCCGCGUCAUGGUGGGUCUUUCAGAACAAAAACCUGCGAGACGGGGAGAGGCGAAGGGGAAAAUUGAAACUUAAUCGCUACAGCCGGGCAAACAUUCUCAGCCCGCUGUGUUGCGAGGAGUUGUGAGCAUUUAUUGAUGCAUUGCGAGGGAAUACAUGAGUGCUGGAGCCCUGAUUUGUGCGCGCGACUAACAAACGGGCGAGUAAAGCGCGACCGUUGGAAGGCAAGACUCGUUGCUCACCGCAAACGGACGCAUUGUGAUUCAUCUUUUGUCAGUGCCUGGAGUGAGGAGCAGGACAGCACCGCGCACCGCGCAGAGAACCUGCGGGACGGGGGAGAGGCGAAGGGAGAAUUUAAACUGACUCGCGACAGCCGAGCAAAACUUCUCAGCCCGCUGCGAGGAGAUGCGCGGAAAUAUUGCUGUGUUGCGAGGGAAUACAUGCAUGCUGGAGCCCUGACGAAUGCGCGAGUACAGCGCGACUGUCGCAAGGCAAGACUCACUGCUCGUCUGCUCACCGCGAAUGGACGCAUUGUAUUUCAUCUCCAGUCAGUGCAGAGUCCAGAGCAGAGCAGCGUCACCGUGAAUCACCAUCACAACCAGCGAGUCGCGUGAAGCGCGAAGCAAGGGCGGAAGGGUUGAAACAAACUUUGUGUUGACGAGUGUAUAGUGGCUGUUGAAGACGUGCACCGUAUUCAUACUGCUCCACAAAUUGAAUCGGCGGCCUUGAUGGGAUUGGGCGGGAUUGGGCUCGGUCGCAUAGUCGAGCGUGUAUCUGUAUCUAUCUGUAUCUGCAAGAGAAGAAGUGAACUCCUGAAAUGCUCCAUGCCGCCCCAUGCCGACGUUACAUGGCAAGCCAGGGCCCCGGGAAACGUUGUGUGUAUGUUAUGUAUCAUGACAGAACGAUUAUGGCUCUGCUACCUCGAAAGAGCGACAGGUACACGACCGAAACGUUGAGAUUUAUGACGCCCGUCGUUCCCGUGGGGAAUGGCCUUGUCUUAGUGCAUUGAAUGCAUACAGGUUCACAUAUGGAAGCAGAACUGGCUGAUUGUACAUCGCUACUUGGCGUUUAGACAAAGAUGGUUUCGCGUCCCCCCGCCGGGGGAUGCCCACUCGUAGCCUCCAGGAUUGACCCAGGAUUCGCUCCGAAUAAUCUAUGUGUGUAAGAGACCACUUAUUGAAGUCGCAGAAUUGGUACGCCUGUGGUGGAUGUGGCUGUGAGGGCUCUUACCCUACUUCGGUCUAUGCAGCCACCUGCUUGGCUGCUUUGGUGUGCUCAGCACCGCUAUAUUGCAUGCUAAUGUAUCUGAACUAUGAUUGGGG
rnacentral:lncRNA from 1 species